AACACACUAAACUCGUGAUGUAGCCCAGGCUGCCCUCACACUCACAGUGAUCUUCCUGCCUCAGCCUCCUCAGGGCAGAAAUUACAGGCAUGUGCCACCUCGACUGGCCUAAAAAUUGAGACGGUGGACUCUUGGGGGAAGGGGCUGAAGGACGAGAAAGAGCAAGCUCUGGAGUGCUGGGAAGCUUCGCUUUCUUUACCCGAGUGCCCACACGGGCACUUGCUUUACACGGGCUAAGCCACACACAUCUGCACCUUGGCAGGCAGCGUGGCAAGUCCUCUGUAAAUGAACGAGUGACAAUGACAAGUAGCUCAGGGAGGGCCGUGGGCCAGCAAGUGGAAACAGAUCCUCAGGGAAGUUCUGGAGGCGCGCAAUUCCCCGGCACACAGCAAGGACAGACUCAGCACCCACCCAACAGCUCCCACCUGGGCAAGCGGGCGGGAAAUACUUUCAUUCAUCGAGGAAGUCGUGUUGCCUUGGAGACAAAAGCAGCCAUCAGAGCUCUCCCUGGGGAUUUGGGGUGUUUUCUAGAGAGCGAUUUUUUUAAUGGAAGAAACCAGGCAAGAGGGGGCUGUUAAACAUGGAGCCAGGAGGCUUCCAGAGCUGAGGAUGAGGCCAGCAGAGGCGGGAGGCUGCGUCCCUCCUGGAAGAGGCCCCCAGAGCACAGCCAAGCAUUUGGCCCGUUCCCGCGCCCAGCACCUCGUGGGGGCCGUGUGCGUCUGGGUUUCAAAGCCCCCAAGAGACCUGGCGUGCAGUGGGUUAGAAAAGCCAGGGUGUCCUUGAGCUAUUCGCACGCAGCCCUAGGAAGCCACGGGGGCUCCACGCCCCCAGGACUGGGCUUGAGCCCAGGGCCUUCACACUGAGUACAGCCCCAGCCCUUUCGCAUUUGAAACAAAACCUCACUGAGUCGCUCCAUUGCCCAGGCUGAGCUCCAAUUUUCAGUCCUGCUGCCUCAGCUUCCCGCAGUGCUGGGAUGACACAUGUGCACCACCACCCCCCAUUUUGUUUUGUUUUGUUUUGUUUUUUAAUCUUUUUAAAGUCCAGCCUUAGCGUACAUUUCUCACAACUCCCCGUGCGGCCCGUGGCGCUCGGCCAUAGCCCACAUUUUGAGGGCGAAGAGGUGAGAGGAGCCAAACACGCUCGGACCCCCGGACCCGGAGGACAAAGCCCUCCCCUGGCGUGAAGCAGGGAACAAGGGUGGAGCAGCCCGGCAGGGCCAGGCAGGCUCCCGGGGUCGCAGAGGGGGGCCAGGGCCCCACGCACACGCUGAGCCGGGGAAAUAUUUUCACAGCACGCCCACUGUCUCUCCUGCGGAUUAGCCCUCAGAUUCUUGUUCCCAGCACAAAUAUGCGAGGGGAAGGAAUGCGUGCAGCCAAGACCAGCCGGAAGCGGGCGGCUUCCCGGCUGCGCCCGGGCCCUGUUCCCAGGAGCACGGCGAGGCGCAGUGAGGCCGCCCGCCCGGAGGCGAAGCCGCGGGUCCGCCCUGAGCUCCCUUCUGCAUCUGCGGGCCGACCUGAAAGAUGCGCCGCUCCCCUGCCUGCUCAACGAUGCUGCCGCGAGCAGAGCCGAGCCUCGGCUCACAGGAAGUGGCGCGGCCACCGUCUCUCUGCACCGCGUCCUCCCACGGUGGGCGCUGAACAAAGGACGCGGCUGCAUUUCCUGUCCUCUCCCGCUGCGUCUCGGAAGCCCUGGGCGCCACCAGUGUGUACGGGAAGGCACAGCCUCCUGAGGCUAUUUCAGCGUCUCCCGACCGCGUGGUGGCCCGGCCUUCGAGGCUGUGCAAGAAUAUAAAGCAAGCAGAAUUCCCAGGCUGCUGCGGGUGUAUUGAUACACACACAUACACAUGACUGUGAGUGUGCACACGUAUGACUUGACCCACCAGAGUGGAAACUCCAUAGCACAGGAUGGAUUCCGUGUGCACUCAGAGAAGUGCUUACUCUCACGCAGGGCGCAGGGCUAGAUGUUCUAGCAGCAGGCCCCCUAAUAGCCAAAGCUGUCCAUAAUCUGAUGUUCAUCAAUAGUAAAGUGCAUAAUUUGUAA